UGCCAUUUCAUUUCAUUUCAUUUCCAGCGGUAACGGUGGUAGCUCCUGCUCCAUAGCACGAAGGCCGAAUCCAAAACCCUAACCCUAGGUGGAAGAGAGAGCGAGAGAGAGCGAGAGAGAGAGAGAGAGAGAGAGAGAGCCAUGGCCGAAGGAGGCGGUGGAGGAGCGUCGCUGAAGGAUCAGGGCAAUGAGUUCUUCAAGGCCGGGAACUACUUGAAAGCGGCGGCGCUCUACACGCAGGCGAUCAAGAUGGAGCCCAACAAUCCCACCCUCUACAGCAAUCGGGCUGCUGCAUUUCUGCAUUUGGUUAAACUCAAUAAAGCGCUUGCUGAUGCUGAGACAACAAUUACUCUUAACCCCCAGUGGGAGAAGGGUUAUUUCAGGAAAGGCUGUAUUUUGGAGGCAAUGGAACGCUAUGAUGAUGCUAUAGCUGCUUUCCAACUGGCUUUGCAGUACAAUCCACAGAGUGUGGAAGUUUCCAAAAAAAUAAAAAGGCUCUCUCAAUUAGCCAGAGAUAAGAAACGGGUUCUUGAAGUAGAAAGUAUGAGAUCGAGCAUUGACAUUGCAAAAUACUUGGAACCUUUGAAAUCUGAACUGUCUGCAAAAUGUGGAGAUGCGGAAGUAUCUCAAUGUAUCUUCUCUUUUAUUGUUGAAGUCAUGGACACGGCCGUCAAAGUUUGGCAUGAAACUGCUAAGGUGGAUGCCAGGGUCAAUUUUCUUCUCGAUAAGCAGAAGACUCAGACUGAUAAAUAUGCUCCGGUAGUCAAUAUUGAUAAGGCUUUCGAGUCCCCUCACACGCACAGCAGUUGUUUCUCAUAUUUGAGGCAAUAUGCAGAGGAGUCAUUUUCCAAAGCUGCUUGCUUGGUAGCGCCCAAAAGCAUUAUAUCGUAUCCUCAGGUUUGGAAAGGGCAGGGAUCAAGAAAGUGGAAGCUUGGGCAGAGUGAUGGUUUCUUUGUUCAGUUUGAAUCACCUUUCAUUCGUAAGCUGUGGUUUGUUCCUAGUUCAACCGAAAAAGGUCGGACCUUGUGCAGGAAUCCGGAGCCUUUGGAUAUCAGUGCCCACGAAGUGCUUCCUCGUCUAUUCAAAGAGCCUGCUUCUGAUGCCAGAUAAUCCUUUAUUGCCGUUUAAUCGACGGUCAAUAGUGGAUUAAACGUUUGAUCAUACCUCAAGGGGUUUUUUUUGGUUACGUUAUUGAAGAGUUGGUCUACUUGUAUGUUCAUCAAAGGAGCAUUGUGAGCCUCAAUUUUUUGUUCUUCAUGCAAUGACUGUUGCAGUAGAGGGGUUGAUGGGAUGGAGAGAGGCUCAAAUUUUGAAUAUCAUGUGAAAGAGAUGUUUACGAUUCCGCGUCAUUGGUUUUGAGACAUUGGUUUUGAGAGAGGUUUAAGAUUCGGUGUCAUUGUUUAACCUUUUUCCAGCAGAAGCAACGUAAAAGCUUUGAUUUAACCUCAUCACCUUGCCAUUGCUUUCCGAAUUAUUGAGAAAUUGUUGUAUGUACCGUUGUUUUCGA